AAUUUGGAUCCCAUUGAAAUAUAUGGGACAAGUUAUCUUGACUAACUUGUCCCUUAUAUUUCAGUGAGAUUCAGGUU